GCCAGCCGGUCAUAGUUACUUUUGUUCUUAAAAAAUCUCAGUGUUCAGCAAGUUGGAAACUCAAAACACGAGAAAACGUGGUCGGCUUCUUGGGGAGCCCCGCAGCCCAUCCAAGGGUCGCACUCGCAGCCGGGCCCCGUGCCCUGGUCCUGCAGCGCCCUCGGGGCCCGCGGCCCAGGUGAGGUGCUCAGCACACAGGCAGAAGGACACAGCCCCUGCCAGCAGCCCUGGCCCCAGCACAGAUCAUCAGGGCGCAGAACCUGACCCCUUGAAAGACUGGGCAUUCUGUGGCUCCCUGGCGACGGUCACAGUAGGCCAACUGGCCGGCCCCACCAUGCCCCCAGACUCCACCGCAGCAGGGGACUCUGGGGACCUGGAUCUUCUGCACAGCACCUGGGACCUUGGGGCUCACCCUGAGGGCCACCCAGAGACUGGCUGCUAAAAGUAGGGACCAUCAAAGGGGAGGUGGCUGGGGAGAGAAUGGAAACAGCACGUGCUUGGUGACAAAAUACUCCGCUUCUUAAGGCAAGGGCAAGUGGUGUUUCUCAAACAGCAGGAAGGCAGCAGUUUGGCGCAUCAAUCAAAAAUAAGUCUCCCCCUAAGUCAGACUUCUGCAUCUGCCUGGGACUGGUUUUCCUUGUGUUAGAUAAAAACACCGCUUCAGAGAGGGGUGGGGAGCAAGAAUUAAACAAAAUUGAUUCAGGACUAGAACCUUCUCUAGGAGGUUUCCUGCGUGGGAGGUGACCUGGGCAGGCUGGCCUGGGAGACGGUCCCUUGAGGAACUGUAGAUAGGCUGCUGACAAAGAGCCCAGCCCACCAGAGAUUUCCCAGUCACCCCCACCUGUGCGGGCUCUUGUCUGGGGUCAGCAUGUUGAAAGGCACCCAAGGACACUAGUCCCAGCUUCCUCAGUCUCUCAGAGCGCUUUCUUUAUUUGUCCCAGGUUCAUACACCAGAAUUUAGAGGAGUAUUUUUAGUUCCUUCCAGUUGAACAGUUUGCAAUUGCUUUUCCCCACUUCUGGGCGUCCCAGCACCCUCCUCUGUCCCCGGGCGCAGGCUGGGGGUGGGGGCAGAGACCUGACUGCACACAGGGUUCGCCCCUCACCCUGUGACUGACCGCCUUUCUCCUGGAAUCUAAUGCAACAUCCGGCAGCAGCCUUCUCAGCACCCACUCACCGCCCACCAGCCCCAGGUCCAGCCAGAACCUUUCAAAAGGCCUGAGGUGUGUGCAAACAUCCGGCUGAUGGUGUGGAAACAUUCCUUCAACAACAAUGAAAAACUGCAGGUCAAGGAGGGAGGGAGGGUCCCACAGUAGACCCUGGACCCCAGUGCCGCCUGGCCCUAGUUCCUCUUUAGCUUCCACCCCCAGCCCCACUGUGCCAACAGCCUCUACUGUCUUUCCUUCCAAGCCCCCAGAAAGGCGGGAGAGGGGAGGGGAGCACCCGAGGGUCAUCAUCUGUCCCCAGUGGGUCUCUCCGGGCACCCCCUGAGUCCCUUUACGUCUUUACCACUGAUGGGCCUCUGCUUCCUGUGGCUCUGCUUGUCCUUUGUGUCCUUGGCCCCUGGAGGUUGAUUCCUUCCAGAAUCCGCUCUUUCCUUCAGUUUUCUCUCUUCGGUGGAGGAAGCCCUCUGCCUCAAGCUCUGCCAGAGGGCCCCGUUUUUAUGUCACUGUGACUCGGGAAGCGGUCAUCAGUCUCUUCCAUUUGGGACUCCUUACCCCUUCCUGUCCGCACUGCUUCUGGAGUCCAUCUGAUUGUUUCUGGACCUCGAGACUGGACAUCUCAUCCACUGGAAGUGGGUCCUUUAACUCCAUGACUCUAGCAACUGAGGUGACCGCCGGGGGCAUGCUGUACACUUCUCUGCACAAGUCAGUCACGCUGGAGACUGAAGUCCACAGCAGCAUUGAUCCAAGUGGUGAACACACCCCUGUCCUGGGCUGUCCUGACCCUGCGUCUGUCCCCUCUCUAAUGGGGAGGGGGCAACAUCUUCGCACCUUUCCAGGGUGGCCCAUGUCACCUCCAGGAGUGAGAGCCACUGAUCACCUUCUGCAGGCCCAUGUACUAUGAGCACAUGAACUUGGCUGGAUGCAUUGAAACCCCAAGUGGAACACAGUCCGCUCCUCCACCUUGCAGAGCGCGGCCCCGGGCUCUGGUCCCAAGAUAGGAGAACAGUCCUGGAGCCCAGUGUGGGCUGUGAAGUGCUGGCCACAUCCUUCCUCCCGUCCUGCAAGGGCAGCACAGAGCACAGCUAGCCCUCUGGGAGUGCUAGGUGGCGUCUGCAGAUGCCCCCAGCACCGAGCACGGUGGGCUGUCAUCUCCCCAUGACCGCCCAUCACUGGUCUGCGCGUGUCUGCGCUGGGAGGACUAAGGCACAGCAAACGCGAACAGGAGUGAGCAUGGUCCAGACUGCGUGUGGUGCCAGACACAUGCUGCUGGUGUCACGAUGGGCAGGGACAGGUCCUGAGAGAGAGGUCCUCGGUGACAGGGGAAGAACUGGAGAGAGAAGAGCGGGAUGCGUCCUGAGACUGGAAGACAGAUACAGUGGCCGUAUGCAGUAGCAUCAAAGGUCCAUUUGCAAUCUGUUGCCCAGAUAUUUGUGUGAUUUUCUCCAGAGGUGCUCGGAGGGCAGAUGUCUCACUGCUGUGCUACCCCAGGGCUGGAGCAUUGUGGCAAGGACGAUGGGACAGAGGAGCCAAGGCACAGAGGUUGAAGACAAGGGAGGAGCCCAGCCCCACGGCCAAAGCUAUGAUUCCUCACAGCUGAGCGGCCAGGCGGACCGUGGGGGUUGGGCUCCCCUCCUCAGGAGCAGGCCAAGGAGGGACAGCAGUGACCAAAAGGUUGGGACUCUGCCUGCUCCCACGGCCUCUGCAUGGAUCCCAGUCAAUUUCAGCGGCCUUGGCGUGAGCCAGGUGAAGUGUCCCCUCGCAGACGGGGCUUUUCCUGUAAGAAAAAGGUGUCGUCGAAGCCUAAAAACCACUGUAGUGCCCCUUGUCCUCAGGAAUGAGUUUCCAGAUCCUCUGUGGAGGCCGGACUGAGGAAAGCACCAAACCUACAAACACAACGCUUCUCCUCUGCACAAAACCUGUGAUAGAGUGCACUUCAUAGAUCCAGCUUAGUAAGAAAAAGACAUCGGUGACUCAUGUUAAAACAGAAUGAUUACAACAAAAUAUCUCAAUAAAGCUGAUGAAUGUGGUCCCCCCCAUCUCAGAAUGCUGAUCAUACUGUCCUCAACCUUCUUAGGAUGGUGCUGUGGGUGGGAUGAGAUGAGUGCGUGA